rnacentral:rRNA from 1 species
CGGUACGGGUUGUGAGAGCAAGAGCCCGGAGAUGGAACCUGAGACAAGGUUCCAGGCCCUACGGGGUGCAGCAGGCGCGAAACCUCCGCAAUGUGAGAAAUCGCGACGGGGGGAUCCCAAGUGCCAUUCUUAACGGGAUGGCUUUUCAUUAGUGUAAAGAGCUUUUGGAAUAAGAGCUGGGCAAGACCGGUGCCAGCCGCCGCGGUAACACCGGCAGCUCUAGUGGUAACAAUUUUUAUUGGGCCUAAAGCGUCCGUAGCCGGUUUAAUAAGUCUCUGGUGAAAUCCUGUAGCUUAACUGUGGGAAUUGCUGGAGAUACUAUUAGACUUGAGACCGGGAGAGGUUAGAGGUACUCCCAGGGUAGAGGUGAAAUUCUGUAAUCCUGGGAGGACCGCCUGUUGCGAAGGCGUCUAACUGGAACGGUUCUGACGGUGAGGGACGAAAGUUAGGGGCGCGAACCGGAUUAGAUACCCGGGUAGUCCUAACUGUAAACGAUGCGGACUUGGUGUUGGGGUGGCUUUGAGCUGCUCCAGUGCCGAAGGGAAGCUGUUAAGUCCGCCGCCUGGGAAGUACGGUCGCAAGACUGAAACUUAA